rnacentral:tRNA from 1 species
GGCAAUUAGGGAUGCUGGUGCAUCUAAACGACUCAAAAUCGUCUUGAGGUGGGUUCGAUCCCCACAAUUGCCA